UAAAAUGUGCCAAAGACAGAAAAAAAGAUGACUGACGGAGGAAUAACCCCCCAAAAAGGUUCAGACGUUGUAACUUUCGAUGGAAAUCAACGCAUUUUACACUGAAUACAAAUUUAGUAAGGCUUCAGCAUUUGUGUGCGUCCCAGGAUGGGGUGGCACCUUUGGAAUUUCUAUGCCUUGCGUCCAAAAAGUGCCAGGAUAGGAUGUUGGUCCCCACGGCCUUGCAACGGAUUAAGGCGAUAAUAGGAUGAUGAAUGGAAGUUCAGCAUCACUGGCCUUGCCUGGGUGCAAUACCUUUAUUGCUGUGUUAUGGGUAACUAAGAAGGUGAACACAUCGUUAGAAACAGAGGAAGACAUCGUCUGACAUUACCAGAGUGCAGAACAGCAGCUGCUUUAAUUGAAGUACGUUUGCCAUCAUUUUGAUUGCUAUACAUCCAUCACCUGCAGCAUCUUUUUGGAAAGCAGCACGCCAUUCUUUGGAACUCACUGCCAGUUUAUAGCAUCUAAGAUACUGUUUUCAUAUCGGAGUUACCAGCAGCGUGCCCCUGUGAUACUUAAUUGAAGGCAUCCAGCUCAAACUUAUAACAACUAUCCGGCUCCCACGUAAACAUACCAAAGUGGUGUGCGUGGCGUUUGUACGGAAGAUGGAGCGCACCGGGUUAGCACACUAUUUGUGUGAUCUCAUGGCCAAAAUGCUCUGCUUAUUUGACAUGUCUGAAGGCACACCAUGUCCUUUAUUUCCAUUGGCUUUUGUCAUCUGCAGUAACGCAAAAAGCAGCAUAAGACAAUACUAAUUUUAUUAUUUAAUCUUCCACAGUGCUACAGCAAAAAGGGUUAGCACACUGUCUGUGUGAUAUCAUUGCCAGAAUGCUCUGCUUAUUUGACAUGUCUGAAGGCACACCAUGUCUUUUAUUUCCAUUGGCUUUUGCCAUCUGCAGUAACACCAAGAGCAGCAUAAGACAAUACUAAUUUUAUUAUUUUAUCUUCCACAGUACUCCAGCAAAAAGGUAAAUGUCACACUUUUCUUCCUUUCCUAUUUUUCACCAUAAUGUUGGUGGAACUUAUCACAUGGUUAGACCACAGCCUUAUUCAUUUUAUAGUCAGCCAACCUUGGUUGAAAUCCUGAUAACUGACCUGUUGGUGGAAGUUGUCACAUGGUUAGA